rnacentral:lncRNA from 1 species
AGAAUCAGCUUUAAUCAGUGAUUUCACCCAAAGCAGCUGUGGGCUGUUUGCUGGGAGACGCUCCCAAGGGCUGUUUAGGUUUGCAGCUGGGACAAAUCAGCUGCAAUCAGCUCCAAUCAGCUCCCCAUAAAGCUCUCACUUCCCCGGCUCUGGGGAAGAGUUUGGGCUUUGUGCUCUGAGCUGCAUAUGUCUCUGAACUUGGAUGGUGCUUUUUCUGGUGUUGGAGGGAAGCAGAACAGAAGUGUGAUUCCCCAAGCUUUCAAGUUAUAAAGUUCUGUAGUUUUGAGGAGAUCUGUUUGGUCUCUGUGUCACAUGAGGAGGAGGAGGAGAAGUCCUCAGACUCAUGAAUAUACAGCAAGGUAAGGAAAAAGCUUGAACAAAAAUUAAAAUAAAAAAUCUCAGCCCAUUUUGCA